AGCAGCAUGGACUAGUGGUUUGGGCUUCGGACUACGACUCAGAAGACCAGGGUUCGAUUCCCUGCUCAGCCA